GGGUUGUGAGGUUAAGCGAAUAAGCGUACACGGUGGAUGCCUAGGCAAUCAGAGGCGAUGAAGGACGUGCUAAUCUGCGAUAAGCGUCGGUAAGGUGAUAUGAACCGUUAUACCCGACGAUUUCCGAAUGGGGAAACCCAAUAUCCAAUGGAUAUUAUCAUUAACUGAAUACAUAGGUUAAUGAAGCGAACCGGGAGAACUGAAACAUCUCAGUACCCCGAGGAAAAGAAAUCAACCGAGAUUCCCCUAGUAGCGGCGAGCGAACGGGGAACAGCCCAGAGUCUUAAUCAAUAGCAGCAUCAGGAGAACGGUCUGGAAAGUCCGGCAGUAAAGGGUGAUAGCCCCGUAUCCGAAGAUGCUGUUAUUGUGAACUCGACGAGUAGGGCGGGACACGUGUUAUCCUGUCUGAAUAUGGGGGGACCAUCCUCCAAGGCUAAAUACUCCUGAUUGACCGAUAGUGAACCAGUACCGUGAGGGAAAGGCGAAAAGAACCCCGGCGAGGGGAGUGAAAAAGAACCUGAAACCGUGUACGUACAAGCAGUAGGAGCCCCACCACUAAGCUAGUGGUGAACUCACAGCGAUUCUUUUGCAUGAUAAUGUGCGGUAGACGGAGCGAAUGCGACGUCCAACCAACAAAAUCAAGCAGAGGAGGCUUAGUGGUGGGGUGACUGCGUACCUUUUGUAUAAUGGGUCAGCGACUUAUAUUCUGUAGCAAGGUUAACCGUAUAGGGGAGCCGUAGGGAAACCGAGUCUUAACUGGGCGAAUGAGUUGCAGGGUAUAGACCCGAAACCCGGUGAUCUAUCCAUGGGCAGGUUGAAGGUUGGGUAACACUAACUGGAGGACCGAACCGACUAAUGUUGAAAAAUUAGCGGAUGACUUGUGGAUGGGGGUGAAAGGCCAAUCAAACCGGGAGAUAGCUGGUUCUCCCCGAAAGCUAUUUAGGUAGCGCCUCGUGAAUUCAUCUUCGGGGGUAGAGCACUGUUUCGACUAGGGGGUCAUCCCGACUUACCAACUCGAUGCAAACUGCGAAUACCGAAGAAUGUUAUCACGGGAGACACACGGCGGGUGCUAACGUCCGUCGUGAAGAGGGAAACAACCCAGACCGCCAGCUAAGGUCCCAAAGUCAUGGUUAAGUGGGAAACGAAGUGGGAAGGCUCAGACAGCCAGGAUGUUGGCUUAGAAGCAGCCAUCAUUUAAAGAAAGCGUAAUAGCUCACUGGUCGAGUCGGCCCGCGCGGAAGAUGUAACGGGGCUAAACCAUGCACCGAAGCUGCGGCAGCGACACUAAGUGUUGUUGGGUAGGGGAGCGUUCUGUAAGCCUGCGAAGGUGUACUGUGAGGUAUGCUGGAGGUAUCAGAAGUGCGAAUGCUGACAUAAGUAACGAUAAUGCGGGUGAAAAACCCGCACGCCGGAAGACCAAGGGUUCCUGUCCAACGUUAAUCGGGGCAGGGUGAGUCGACCCCUAAGGCGAGGCUGAAAAGCGUAGUCGAUGGGAAACGGGUUAAUAUUCCCGUACUGGUGGUAACUGCGAUGGGGGAACGGAGAAGGCUAGGUUGUCCGGGCGACGGUCGUCCCGGUUCAAGCAUGUAGGCAGAGUGAUUAGGCAAAUCCGGUCACUUAAUGCUGAGGUGUGAUGACGAACCACUAAGGUGGUGAAGCAAUUGAUGCCCUGCUUCCAGGAAAAGCCUCUAAGCUUCAGGUUACCAACAAUCGUACCCCAAACCGACACAGGUGGUCAGGUAGAGAAUACUCAGGCGCUUGAGAGAACUCGGGUGAAGGAACUAGGCAAAAUGGUGCCGUAACUUCGGGAGAAGGCACGCUGGCGGUAAGUGAAGUCCCUUGCGGACGGAGCCGAAGCCAGUCGAAGAUACCAGCUGGCUGCAACUGUUUAUUAAAAACACAGCACUGUGCAAACACGAAAGUGGACGUAUACGGUGUGACGCCUGCCCGGUGCUGGAAGGUUAAUUGAUGGGGUUAUCCUUAGGGAGAAGCUCUUGAUCGAAGCCCCAGUAAACGGCGGCCGUAACUAUAACGGUCCUAAGGUAGCGAAAUUCCUUGUCGGGUAAGUUCCGACCUGCACGAAUGGCGUAAUGAUGGCCAGGCUGUCUCCACCCGAGACUCAGUGAAAUUGAACUCGCUGUGAAGAUGCAGUGUACCCGCGGCAAGACGGAAAGACCCCGUGAACCUUUACUAUAGCUUGACACUGAACAUUGAGCCUUGAUGUGUAGGAUAGGUGGGAGACUAUGAAGUGUGGACGCCAGUCUGCAUGGAGUCAACCUUGAAAUACCACCCUUUAACGUUUGAUGUUCUAACCUAGGUCCAUAAUCUGGAUCGGGGACCGUGUCUGGUGGGUAGUUUGACUGGGGCGGUCUCCUCCUAAAGAGUAACGGAGGAGCACGAAGGUUGGCUAAGCAUGGUCGGACAUCAUGCGGUUAGUGCAAAGGCAUAAGCCAGCUUGACUGUGAGAGUGACGGCUCGAGCAGGUACGAAAGUAGGUCUUAGUGAUCCGGUGGUUCUGAAUGGAAGGGCCAUCGCUCAACGGAUAAAAGGUACUCCGGGGAUAACAGGCUGAUACCGCCCAAGAGUUCAUAUCGACGGCGGUGUUUGGCACCUCGAUGUCGGCUCAUCACAUCCUGGGGCUGAAGUAGGUCCCAAGGGUAUGGCUGUUCGCCAUUUAAAGUGGUACGCGAGCUGGGUUUAGAACGUCGUGAGACAGUUCGGUCCCUAUCUGCCGUGGGCGUUGGAAGAUUGAGAGGGGUUGCUCCUAGUACGAGAGGACCGGAGUGAACGCACCACUGGUGUUCGGGUUGUCAUGCCAAUGGCAUUGCCCGGUAGCUAAGUGCGGAAGAGAUAACCGCUGAAAGCAUCUAAGCGGGAAACUUGCCUCGAGAUGAGUCUUCCCUGUCACCUAGAGUGACCUAAAGGAACGUUUAAGACUAAGACGUUGAUAGGCUGGGUGUGUAAGCGUAGCGAUACGUUGAGCUAACCAGUACUAAUGAACCGUGAGGCUUAACCUGACAACACCGAAGGUGUUU
rnacentral:rRNA from 1 species